rnacentral:rRNA from 1 species
UUACGGGAUGCUCCAGUGGGGAAUAUUGGACAAUGGACCAAAAGUCUGAUCCAGCAAUUCUGUGUGUUUGAUGAAGGCCUUCGGGUUGUAAAGAACUUUAAGUAGGGAAGAAGAAAGUGACGGUACCUACAGAAUAAGCGACGGCUAAAUACGUGCCAGCAGCCGCGGUAAUACGUAUGUCGCAAGCGUUAUCCGGAAUUAUUGGGCAUAAAGCGCGUCUAGGCGGUUUACUAAGUCUGAUGUGAAAAUGCGGGGCUCAACUCCGUAUUGCGUUGGAAACUGGUAGACUAGAGUAUUGGAGAGGUAGGCGGAACUACAAGUGUAGAGGUGAAAUUCGUAGAUAUUUGUAGGAAUGCCAAUGACGAAGGUAGCUUACUGGACAAAUACUGACGCUGAAGCGCGAAAGCUAGGGGAGCAAACAGGAUUAGAUACCCCGGUAGUC